ACGGCAGGCCAGUAAUACACUGAGACUGCCGUUAGCUGAAGCUAACAAGCUGAAUCUACAAUAAAAUUACAUCCUACUGGCGUUCAUCAGUGCUGCCCAACGUGAUGUGUGUGUCUGCCUCCUCCUGACUAUCUCACCUGGCCAGGAAGACGUUCAACAUCUGGAGAGGACCCAAGUACACCGUGAUAAAAGCCUCUGAGGACACCGUGAACACAAGAGUGUGGACAUGGCUGGAUGUCGUUGGUUCUGCGAGGAGAGAGAGGGAAAGAGAGGAGGCAAGCAUGUAAUCCCAGUCAUUAGUGGGCUUAAAAAGGAUUUGGUGGAGCUACAAUAAUGGAGACUCCAGUGGCCUCCACUGCAAGACCCAAAGAGACCCAACAGGGAGGAGCGCCAUCCACAGAGGUACAACUGUUUUAGUUGACUCAACUGAGAGAAAGUAAUCUGGAUUUUUGAGUGAAGCUGUCUGUCUCUGUGUGACUGCAAAUGGCAACCACAAAAUUUAGUCCUUUUGCUCUUGGUCUCACACGGAUCUCACACACACAUUCUUGCUCUGAUUCCCAUGCUUCCCAGCCCCAUAGAGGGGUGUAAACACAGUGCGGCUGGUGUUGCCAUGGCGAAGCCUGCCUGCAGCCCAAGAAUGGCGACUAUGCUCUGCAUGCGGAGGGGCAGAGGACAUGAAUGCAAGGCAGCGUAUACAGUAACACAUUCAGACAUACCCUCAUGAUGCUGAUUAAAACUGAGCUGGACAGAAUUUCAAAUUUAUAAAACAUUUGUUUUGCUUGUAUGGACUAGUCAAACUACAAUCAAACUACAGUUUCUUUAAGACGGUCUAAUCGUAAAAACAAAAUAAACUGAGUUCUUUGUUCAGUUUUUUCCAGAGUCUUUUGUGUUGCUUUUGUAAACCCAGUAUUGUGUUUUGUCUCGUCAUGUGAGCUAACUAUGAUGUU